AGAAUACAACAUUUAAAGCUUCAUAUGGAAAAUGAACACGGUCAAAUGGUGAGCCACCCAUAGCCACAUCCACAAACAUACUUAGUCAGCACAUCAUCCAGAUAAAAAGCUUUGGGGACGCUUUCACUAAGGAGCUUGAGAGAAGGGAUGCAGUCAUUUGGUGUUGGGUCUUUUCAGCAAGCUUUUCCUAAUGGGACGUUUUCAGGGACUUGUCAGCCUUAAGAUGACUGAAAUCUUCCUGGCCUGGGUACCAGCUUCAUCUGGCUGCCACUGAGACUGCCAAGCUGAUCGCUUUAAAUUCUACUUUUCUUUUCCUCUUUUUUUCCUUCCUUUCUUUCUUUUUUUUGUUAUGUGUGGGAGGAAUAGGGGCUCAGAGCAAGACAGAGAAAAAGAAAGGAAUAAGACAAGGAUGGAGAGGCAGAGACAGAGGAGAAGAGGGACAGAAAGAGCAAGUGGUUAGACGAGAGGGCCUGAUGAGCAAUGAGCGCCUCACUCGUCCUCAAUUAAUCUUGUCUUUCUACCUUUGCUUUGGCGCUUCCCUUGGCACCAAGUAUAUCAUCUGGAAAACACACAGCCCCCUUUCUGCCGGACGCUGUUUGAGGAUUAUCGCGGGUGACACCUUCGGGAUGCAGCCAGAAUCUGGAGCAUCAUUUUUUCAGCCAUAAAGUGGAAUUACCCUGACUUAUCUGUCAUUGCCAAAAGCACAACAAGCCAUUCAGGGCCAAAGCAAAGGUGGAACAGGUUCUUAUCGGCUUCUCUGAACGAGAGGGCUUGUAAAUUUAUGCUAAUGAGGGCCUUUGUCAUCCAGGCUCACCCCUUGGGGCUGAACAGGGCUUGCAAGGGAUGAUAAUCUGGCUGUUGAGUGCACUAGAUAAUUUGUACUUUAUCCUCAUGUAAUUAUAUAGUUUAAAUCUUUUUACCAAUGCUAAUCCUUCAACACGAGGAAGUGUCUUAACCGUGUCCAUGGUUCUUAGCAGCACUAGUUAGCGUGCAGCUGACUCCCUCAUAAAAUCACGUAGGAGGAGUGCAGCGCUGAUAUAAUUACUCUGACUUUCUGUAGCCUGUGCUGUGAAUCCUCCUAUCAUUUUGAUCCACCUUAGCAGGCAGGCAGUAAGCCAAGCUAGCAGCCUGGGGGUGUGGGAGACAACACAGGAAAAGGUGAAAACAUUGUAGCCUGACUGAAGAGCUCUUUCCAUUUUUUGUCAAGAGUAGAAAAAAAAAUGACGGGGUGAAAAGGAAAAUGAGGUAAAAUUAGUAAAAGUAAGUGCAGUAGGGCAGCUUCGCAGAGCUUUUGAGGUCCCUCUGCUGUCCAGCGGGACUCCACGCCAUCUCGUGUGCCUGCCAAAGCCGACAGCCCCUGACAAGCUGCUUGGCGUGCUGUAAUUUGACUAAUUACACUGGAUUAGACCAUAUUAAUGCAAGCUGUUUUCUCCAGGGUCAUUGACCCACCCAGUGUGUCCCUUGCUGGCUUUCCUCAAUUCUGCGUAAACAAAAGAAUCUCAAGAAAAUAAAGCAGAUUUUUUAACUAAGCUUUGAACAUGUAUCAAUUUAACUGAUGUUAUUUUUAUAAUGGGCGAGACUGCUACAAAGCAUCCACAGCAUAGAAACUGUGAGAUGCAGACUGCACUUUCCUGGGGCACAUCAUCACAAGGUUCUUUGAUAACAAACCAAAUCUUUCUCCUCCAGCUUUGACUCUUUGUAUGGAAAAAAAAAAAAAGAAUCUCAGAGAGGUACCAUAGUUCAUGAGAAACAGAAGGGGUUGGAGUUACUAAGAAUGGCAUCAAAAAGCAGACAACAACAGGAAAAUGUAACUUUGAAUUUUGUGAUUUUGACUUUUAAUUUCCGAAAAAUAUCAGGACGAAACGAGAGUAAUGAGGCACUGUGAGGUUUAGCUAUGUGUUCAAACGUCUUCCUAGGGAAACUGUGUUUUGAAAUCUAAAAGGAAAUAAAAGACACAUUAUUUGAUCUGGAAAUAAUACUCAGAGAACCAAAAAGCAUACUUAAUUGUACAAAGAAUGAUGGGGAACCAACUCAUUUGCAUUUGUAAAAAUCCACAAAGAAAGAGGGGAAAUGAGCCAUACGAUAUGUGUGUUUUAAUACAAAUGCUCUCUCAAUUGUACCAAAUCAAUUUGAAUUCCACACAAUAGAGAGGCAGCUUCAGUGUUUGUAUGUGUUCCUCUGCCUUGAACACGGUGUAAUAAUAGUCUUAAACCAUGCGUUAUAAAGACAGAAUACCAAAGAGGCUUACAGCCUUAGUUUCAUGAAACAUUUAGGUAAAAGUUCCAAAGGCUGAGGAUGAUGAAAGAAGGUAAGCUUGAAAAUGGGCUUCUGGGAUCCACAGCCCUUAUUGUACAGAAGUCACAUCAAAUUAAUGCUGAGGGCCAUUUGCAGCCUUUCUUCUCCUGAGCUUUUCAGAACGGAUUAAGCUAUGAAAACUCAGAAAUUACUAAAGCACCUAUUAGGCAUUAAGCUUACCCUUUCUUCUCUUUCCCUUUGAAAGUCAUUGAAUGUGCUUCACUUCACUUGUACCACAAUUCACAAGUUGUUUGCAUACUUGAAAGAAUGGCAAUUUGAUGAAAUUUGUCCUGUGAAAUGUAUAUUUUAGACUUGCUGCUUACCAUUUCUUAGCAGGAGAAAAUCUACUUCUAUAAACAUUUUACACCGUU